rnacentral:rRNA from 1 species
UGCCAGACUCCUACGGGAGGCAGCAGUGGGGGAUAUUGCACAAUGGGGGAAACCCUGAUGCAGCGACGCCGCGUGGGCGAAGAAGUAUUUCGGUAUGUAAAGCCCUAUCAGCAGGGAAGAAGAAAUGACGGUACCUGAGUAAGAAGCACCGGCUAAAUACGUGCCAGCAGCCGCGGUAAUACGUAUGGUGCAAGCGUUAUCCGGAUUUACUGGGUGUAAAGGGAGCGUAGACGGCGAUGCAAGUCUGAAGUGAAAGGCGGGGGCCCAACCCCCGGACUGCUUUGGAAACUGUAUGGCUGGAGUGCAGGAGAGGUAAGUGGAAUUCCUAGUGUAGCGGUGAAAUGCGUAGAUAUUAGGAGGAACACCAGUGGCGAAGGCGGCCUGCUGGGCUUUUACUGACGCUGAGGCUCGAAAGUGUGGGUAGCAAACAGGAUUAGAUACCCCGGUAA